rnacentral:rRNA from 1 species
CCUACGGGUGGCAGCAGUCGAGAAUCAUUCACAAUGGGGGAAACCCUGAUGGUGCGACGCCGCGUGGGGGAAUGAAGGUCUUCGGAUUGUAAACCCCUGUCAUGUGGGAGCAAAUUAAAAAGAUAGUACCACAAGAGGAAGAGACGGCUAACUCUGUGCCGGCAGCCGCGGUAAUACAGAGGUCUCAAGCGUUGUUCGGAAUCACUGGGCGUAAGGCGUGCGUAGGCUGUUUCGUAAGUCGUGUGUGAAAGGCGCGGGCUCAAGCCGCGGACGGCACAUGAUACUGCGAGACUAGAGUAAUGGAGGGGGAACCGGAAUUCUCGGUGUAGCAGUGAAAUGCGUAGAUAUCGAGAGGAACACUCGUGGCGAAGGCGGGUUCCUGGACAUUAACUGACGCUGAGGCACGAAGGCCAGGGGAGCGAAAGGGAUUAGAUACCCCUGUAGUC